rnacentral:rRNA from 1 species
UACAGAGGGUGCGAACGUUGCUCGGAAUUACUGGGCGUAAAGCGCGUGUAGGCGGAUCCAUAAGUCGGGCGUGAAAGCCCCAGGCUCAACCUGGGAACUGCGUUCGAAACUGUGGGUCUUGAGUGUCGGAGAGGAUGGCGGAAUUCCUGGUGUAGAGGUGAAAUUCGUAGAUAUCAGGAGGGACACCGGUGGCGAAGGCGGCCAUCUGGACGACAACUGACGCUGAGACGCGAAAGCGUGGGGAGCAAACAGG